UCGGGGACUAAAUCAUCCUAGUUUAAACGCACCCUCUGCCAGGGCUCCAGUUGGGAGCUCCUUGCCAUUGCUCUAAACACAUCCUAGGGGUUUCUGCCUCCCCCUCAGCACGCCUGUAACCCUAAGGUAGCCGAGCGGUGGGGGUUCGAGGCUCCCUCCCUCCUUUUGCCCUUCACGAGAGCGCUUUUCUGGGCGCACAAGUGUGUGUGAGGAGCGGAGAGGAGCACCGAGAGGGAGAUUGGGACAAUAGCUGGAGUGGAUUAUGCAUUCCCGUAGGCGAUACUUCCCUAUAUGAGCUUCAGGAUGCAGUUGGAAGCUCGGGAACAAAGCGGGCAUCGAAUGUCAAGGAAACUCAAAACGGAAGGAGGGAUGCUACUUGAAAGUAUGACUCAAAAAAAAAAGGUUUCGCUUUACAGUCAUCAGUAGCACCAGGAGACAGCUCCAUUAAAAAAGUAGUUUUCCACUGCUCUUGAAAAGCCGUUAUUUUUUACAUCGCUUUUAGGAAGAUAGAUUAACAAAACAUCACAUUUCAAGCCACUCUGAUCUGUAAUUAAAUGGAGGAGCCCGUUUGUAUUCUCCUAUGGCUUUUACAGAAGUUGCAGUGAUCCAAAGUCAGGUUGCUGUGUCAGAGUGGCAUUUUUAUUAAUGAGAAUACAAAAAGCUUGCAUAUUCUUAGCCCGGCUUGAAUUUAGUUGCUAAGCAACCGCUGUAUGGUAAUUCAUCCGCGAAAUUUAAAUCUUGGAGAAAGGAUCCUGCGUUUUGCUGAAUGGU